GACGUAGGGCGCGAGCGUUGUCCGGAUUUAUUGGGCGUAAAGAGCUCGUAGGCGGCUUGUCGCGUCGUCUGUGAAAUCCCGCGGCUCAACCGCGGGUCUGCAGUCGAUACGGGCAGGCUAGAGUUCGGUAGGGGAGACUGGAAUUCCUGGUGUAGCGGUGAAAUGCGCAGAUAUCAGGAGGAACACCGGUGGCGAAGGCGGGUCUCUGGGCCGAUACUGACGCUGAGGAGCGAAAGCGUGGGGAGCGAACAGG
rnacentral:rRNA from 1 species